UACAGAGGGGGCAAGCGUUAUUCGGAAUUAUUGGGCGUAAAGGGCGCGUAGGCGGCAUCGCAAGUGGAAGGUGAAAUCCCUCGGCUUAACCGAGGAACUGCCCUCCACACUGCGUUGCUUGAGGCCGGGAGAGGUGAGUGGAAUUCCCAGUGUAGCGGUGAAAUGCGUAGAUAUUGGGAGGAACACCAGUGGCGAAGGCGGCUCACUGGACCGGUUCUGACGCUGAGGCGCGAAAGCGUGGGGAGCAAACGGG
rnacentral:rRNA from 1 species